AGAGAAAUCGACACAUCCCAGAGAAAGUCGAUCACCACCCACGUAGGGCUGGGCUGCCGAGAUCAACGGUUGUUGGUGGUGGGGAUGGUGAUCUCACAAUCUCUUAGCCACGUCCCAUUUCAUUCGGCAUGCUCGCAAUUCACAUUCUCGAACUCGAGAUGGGAGCUUGAAGUUGGUACUCGAUAUUUAUCUUCUCGCCAGGUGCAGCUUUUCUUUAAAUGUAACAGCGAUUUCUUCUUAUUUGUAGUGAACACACUUUAUCGGUGGUUUGCAUGGCUCGGAUUGAGCAUGCCUCGGCGUGUGCAUGUGUUGCGUGGAGGAGAUAGCGAGGUUAUCGACUGCACAAGUUGGGCCCACUUGUAGCCUUUAGCUUUGGGCUAGGUAGUGGUGAUCGAGAGAAGAUGGCUUCUCAACCCUAAUUUGAUUGGUUAGCUUAACUAUUGGCUGUUCAUUGUUUCCGGGAAUUGAUUACUGGUGCUGCCCUGCAGCAUGUUGCUGAACAACAAUCUUUCAAUGAAGACCUAUGCUACCUCACAUAUUCAAAGUAAUUUAGUAGGAAAUGUCGGCGUCGUCGAUGCUCAUAUUGUUGUACAGCUGCAAAUCACUACAGAUUCCAUGGAUAAUUGUACAUUGUUAAACCUGGAUGUCUACUCGUAGAUUAGUCUACAAUCACCUGGUUUUGAAGGGAGUACUUGAGAAGCUUCUCAAAGCCUCUACGAAGUGGAUCGUCUUGUCGAGGCUUGAAGUCAAUUCAUGC
rnacentral:lncRNA from 1 species